UUCAUGGAGAGUUUGAUCCUGGCUCAGGACGAACGCUGGCGGCGUGCCUAAUACAUGCAAGUCGAGCGGGCCGACGGGAGCUUGCUCCCUUAGGUUAGCGGCGGACGGGUGAGUAACACGUGGGUAACCUGCCUGUAAGACUGGGAUAACUCCGGGAAACCGGGGCUAAUACCGGAUGCUUGAUUGAACCGCAUGGUUCAAUU
rnacentral:rRNA from 1 species